rnacentral:lncRNA from 1 species
UCUUUCUGCACAGGCUUCAGGGGCAUGAUUCUCAAUAACAAAUUGUGCCCGAAUGCCUGAUUUUACUUGUUUCCUAAAGAAUGCUCAUUUUAUAAUUCAUUCCAGUAGGAAAACAACACUAUAAACAUUUCAAAAUAUUUAUAAUUUAAAAUAUUAAAUAACAUUUUCUAUGCUUUGAUAGUUUAGAAUGAGUCAAACAUUUUAACCUCUUAAAAGUGACAGAUUGGAGUCUACUAGGUAAAAGUUCCACAUUUUCAGUUUCCUGAAUUACCAGUUUAAGAUAUCAUUUGACCAGCUUGAAGUAUGAUCUAUGGAAUGAUGAUGAUACAUGAAAUAAUUAUUAUCAAUUACAGACAAGAUCACUAUGAAAAUCGAGAUGAAGCAUAGAAUGUAAGAAUUUCGGCAGAUUAAGUUUAUGUCUAAUAAAUCUAACAAUUAAAAACAUGAUUUGUACUUGUAGUCCUCCUUUUUUAUUUUUAUUUUUAUUUAUUUUUAUUUUUAUAUAUACUUUGCUGAAGCUUAAGAUUGGGACAUAUUAGGAAAAAAUGAUUUUUCACUAUAGAUAGUUUGAGAAGCAUUGAAUUCUAGAAAAGCAGUUUUCAAGAUUUGUUUGAAAUAUUAUGUAGAGGCUCCGUCCUUGAAACAGUAAAUAUGGAGCUUGUCUGUUUAAAGUAUAUACAGAGAUGAAAUGCAGCUCCACUUUCCCCACUGGGGCAGAAAUAGGGAAUCUCGGGGGCAGAGAAAUUACAUCAAGAACAAGAAGCACUUACUUGUAUGCAACAAAACACAGCAUGGAAAGUGGAUAAAAACUUCAAUGAUGGACACAGAAACAAGACAUCUUGGAAUCAAACAGCAGCC